AGAGAUGUAGCUAAAUGGAAAAGCACUUGCCUAGCAUGCACAAAGCCUUGGGUUCAAUCCCCAGCACCACUA
rnacentral:tRNA from 1 species